CAGAUUCAAUACGCCCGAAAUUUCAAGAACUUUCUAUAUGCCUUCAUUUUCUUUUUCCUUUUUUUUGUUUUUUAUUUGCCUUUUGGUUUUACCUUCUUCUGAAAAGUUCCGAUACGUCGUACUCCGCUCACUGCUGUAGGAAAAAAAAGGAAAAAUCUCUCCUUCACCUCCGUCGGGCCCGGGCAAAACCCAUUACUGGACUCUCACUUCACUCGGUUGAAGAACGGAUAGAGCAAAUUUCCAUAUGUUUAGAACGACUGCUUUACGGAAUGUUGUCAAGAAUUGUAGAUGGAUGUAUUUUUCUGAAGGAAGAUGGGUGAGCACUAUGACUCCGAAGAAACAAGCUAAUGAUGAUGCUGGGGAAGGACACAUGGUAGAGACUAAGGCUAAUCCUGAUCCAACUGUUGCAUUCAGCAGACCACCUCCGCUUCCGCCUG